UGGCGGCGAACAGAGCAGGUAGGAUGCGUUGCUAUAGCCACGGAUGCAUUACAAACGCAAGUCUGCUGUUGUACUAUCGUCUGUUCCUCUCCAGCUCCUGCUCUACCUGACAGCUCUUUACUACGUCUUGUACUUCCUCUCUACACUCUGUAUGAUCAUCUACAAGAGUCGUGUGAUGAGCUACCCUGAUGACCUCCUAACCCAGGACGUAGGUCUGCUCUUCUUCAUGGCUUGUCUGGAGCUGCUCCGACUCUACUGUGGUGUGAGGGGUAACCUGCAGGAGACGGAGGGUUAUAUGUGGGCUAACCUGGCCAUGACGGUGGCUACCGCCCUGCUGUCCGUCUACUUCCUGGUGUGGCAGCUGUACGUGAUGCAUGCUGACGUCAUCAUCAACGCCGUACUGCUCAGUGUUUACGGACUGGGAGGGGUCCUAGGUCUGGCCACGCUGGCUAGAUUCACCAGCGUCACUGUAUACCGCCUUCUAAUGCUAUGACGUCAGGGCCAGACCUCACGUUUUCCUCCAAAGACAGAAGAGAUUUAUGGGUAAAAUACCUGAGUGACCACUUCUACUGAAGAGAUUGGUAAUGGGUUUGAACGUUCCACACUGAACUCAGGCUUUAAAUGUCUAUUCCUGACCCCAUCAAUUAUAGCUGCACUGUCAGCACCUCCAGAAUCUCCUACACUCCGUCUCUACCAAACCUCCGUCUCUACCGAACCUCCGUCUCUACCGAACCUCCGUCUCUACCGAACCUCCGUCUCUACCG